AGCAGUUGGGCUUUGAUGCGCGUGUGGUCCACUUUUAUCUUUCUGUAUUAGUUUAUGUCUUAACUAGUAUUCAGAGACAAACAUUGUUCCUAUUAGAUAUUCUGAUGUAUUUGACUCAUGGAUUGUAUUAGUGGUUUUUACACUAUUGACACCAGGUUUUUGGAGUUUGGUAUAAUAUUUUUGGUUGUAUGUUCUGUUUUCACAUUAAAUUUUUAUGAUUUUGCUUCAUUCUAGAAGCCUUGCCUUGGGGUUAUUUAUGUCUUUCCCC
rnacentral:lncRNA from 1 species